GGGGGUAAAUCAGGUGUCGCUGGGUGGCGGCGGGUGGCCUCGGGAGACAUUUGGAGAGGCAGGGUUGUCUGGGCGAGCAGGAAUGCUUCAUAAACUGGAGCUCAAGGUCUCUGCGCCACUGGAUUCUGCCUUUCGGAAUAAGGAUGAUGUCACUCAGGACGCCCACCGCUCUGCCAUGGAAGUGUGGGCCUUCUGCAGACUCAGACCAUCAGAGUGACACACCAAUCAGGCAGCAGAGGACGCCGUCCUCACCCAGGAUCCCAAGUGUACUUCUCGGCACUGAAUUUGGAAAGCGGCAUUCCUAUCAGAAGAGACCGGAGAUGCAGAAAGACACCAAGCACAGGAGAAAGACAACAUGACCACGGGACACGGGCUGAACUGAAGCACCCAUGAGCUUCAGUGGCAAACACUAGAAGCUAAGAAAGAGACCAAGCAGGAGUGUCCCGCAGAACCUUCACGGACAGCGGGCUCCUCGGGGGGCCUUCGUUUCCCCGUCUUGCUUCCAAAACUGAGACGAUCUGUGCUGCUCUCCUCGGCAGCUCACGUGGUCUAUGACUUUUAUCGGAGAACCCUGGAGCUCAUAUAGACGAUGAGAAAAGCGCCAGCUGCCCUGGGAAAUGGGGUAUGAGCAGCGGGAAGUCCUGCUGCCCCUCUGUCUGUGAACGGCUCUCUAAGAAAAACAUCUCUAGAAAUGGGGAGUAUACCAGACCAACAAUGUCACAUGAAACGGAAUACCCUCUUGCCGGGGUGGAUGCGUGUGCAAAUGCACUCAUAACACAGUACAGGGGUCACUGUGAAGGUGCCCACGUCUCACUACAAAACUCUAGUCACAUUGAGAUCAUUAAAAGAGGCUGACAAGCGGUUUAUCAAGUAAGCAAAGGACCAAAAGAUACCUCCUUCCGAAUCUUCAGAAUCCUAGGCAAAGGUUUGAAGAAAAUCAUAUGCUUGCCCCUCUCCCUUCCUCUCCAUCUUUAUCUAGCUGGUCUGAUGCAUAGUCUUCAUCCAUAGGUUGCAAGCAUUCCUCAGGCAGUCCCAUGUCCUGCCAGGGUUGAGAAUCACAUUAAAGAUCUGAACCUUCCGAGGGACAGUCAGCCUAGGCGCCACUGUCCAUGAGUGUUCCUUGAUCGCGUGCUCAGGGCCUGACGUAAGCAACGUGUGUGGGUAAAUGAGGUUGGUGCUUCCGAUGCCUAGGUGGCUAAGUACUGGCCCCUAUUGAAAGUUCCCCCCUGCUCUGUAAGUGCAGACUUUUCCAUGGUGAGUUUGAUGUUGGUUCACAUGGAUGCUGCCCCUCCGUCUGCCUGCAUUGUCAGUUGUCCAGUGUCUGUAGACGGCUGUGUUUAUUAUGUCCAACCACUGACCUGCUUACCAUGGGUACACAUGCUACUUUACUAGGACAGUCUGGGCAGAGUGCCACAAUCUGGGGUGGCUUAAGUCAAUAGACAUUCAUUCUUUCACAGUUCUGAUCGCCAGAAGGAUAAAAUCAAAAUAGGAGAAGGGUGGCUUCCUUCUCGGGGAUUCUUGGGCACAUCCUGAGGCCACACCCCUCCCCGGCUUUUUGAUAGCCGCUCCUUGGCGUUCCAACUUCAUAAUGCCACGCUCUGCCCCUGCUUCCACAUGGUCACCUUCCCUCUGUGUCUGUCCCAAAGGACACCAGUCAGACUGGAUUAAGGGUCCACCCUCUUCCAGAAUGACAUCAUCUAAGCUAAUUACAUCUGCAACAACCUUACUUCUAAAUAUGGUCACAUUCUGAGGUUCCAGGAAAGUCUUGUGUUUUAGGGUAAUACUAUGCAACCCAGGACAGUGGGUCACUGUGGUGCCGCUGUUCCAAAAUAGAAAUUUUUCACUUGAACUGCAAACUCCUGGCCAGAGGGUUGGUUUUUAUUUAUUUGAGGGGCUUUUUACAGUACUCCAAACCAAAGCAGUUUAACAGUUUGAGAUGAAUUAGGAUCGUAUAGUAAAAAUAGCCCAGUGUUCUGUAAGUGCUGGUUCCAGGGCCCACACAGUCCCUGGCGGGGUGGAGAUGGGGUGGGAGGGAGCAACAGAGUCUCAGGAGCUGCAGACUAGGAACCUGAAUUGCUGAGGGCUCUUUGGACCGAUAAACUCCAACCUCACCUGCAUACUGAAAGACAGUUACUACACAGUACAGGCGUUCUUGGGUACUUUGCAUUGAGGAACUGAGUUCAGUUCUUACGGGAGAUAUUAAGUCGUAGCUCUCCAGAGAAACAGCCAGUCACGUGUAAGAAGACAUACAGAAAGAGGUGACUUAAUGGAAUGGGUUUAUGUAAUGACAGAGAGGUUGGCAGGCUAGAGACCAGGGAAGACUUGGUGCUACAGCCCCAGGCAGGGGACAGUGUCCAGAGACUCCCCUCAUCCUCAGGGGUGGGGUGGGGACUCUGUUUCUUGUUCUAGCCUGAGCUUCUUGUACCAGAAUGAUUCCCCCCCCCAGCACCCCUAAAAACACAAUGGAAGACAUCAAUUUGCUUUACUCCAAACACACCAAUUCUAAUGUCAAUCUCAUUUAAAAAAAAUUUUUUUUUUCAUAAGUGUCCUAAAUAACUCGUGACCAUGUAUCUGGGUACCAUGACUCAGCCACAUGGGCAUACCAAUUCACCCAUUCCAUGAACUCUCACAGAAUCCAGCACUGGAAGAGACACAGGAUAAGGAGAGCAAGAGGCAGGAGAGAUGAAACCCCUCUUUAGACCUUAUAAAGUUGGGUGUCUAGCCCUAAGCACAACUCUUGCAAGUCUCCAUGGAGACACAUCUUAUCGGGUCCCAUCGGGAACCAGUAAACCUAGGUAUGACUGAGGCUUCUACAGAACAAAUCAAAUCCUUCUAUUGCAUUUAUACAUUCUAAGUGUGUGUAUAACAAUUUCCUAAGCACAUCGUAAAUGUAGACAGACUUAGUAAGUGUAUACCAUACAUUUUAUAAAAAGCAAGUAAUUAUCUACC
rnacentral:lncRNA from 1 species